UUAUCCCUUGAUCCAGCGGUUGCUUGGGUGUAAAUAGUUUGAGGUUUUAUUAUGUUUGCUGGGCUCUUCUCUCUCUCAGUCCUCCUGCUCGAUCUCCUCUUCCCACCCUUCACUAAAGAGACUUCACCUGAAUUGUGACGGACGGAGAGGAAGAAAUGGUAGAGGCGGCGCGGUUUUACAAACAGUUUUAUGUUCGAGGUCUGCCCCGUUCCUUCAGCUCACAACAAUGGAUUUGGUUUGAAUUCAGCUUUUUAUUUGAGGAGGGAGGAAAGCUGGGACUAAUGUUCAUGGGAGUGGUUUUGUAGACAUUUCGGAAGCAGUUGAUAGUGUAUGCAGAGUAUAAAAGCAAGUGUGUUGUGUUGCUGCAGCUGUUUAGAUCAUUUGACUGGCACGGUGAGUUUGAUUUGCUGUGGUUUGUUAUGGGCAUUCAUUAGGGAGUUUGGUUUUGUUUCAGAUUGCUUAUUGAUGAAGAAAAUAUGUUUUGAUAUUUUGCUCAUGGAAGAAUAGGAAGAAUUAAUAGCAGAAUCAGAGACGUGAGAUAGAAUUUCAGGACAAACCGAUCCCGGUUGCAAAGGUGAGGACGACUCAUGGAAGUUGUUCAUCAGAAUGUCACUGAUACUUAUUUGAUGAUACUGGAGGAACAGCCGGGUACAGGCCAAAAUCACUAGAUAUGAAACCGUUGAGUUUGUGAUCCAGUGGAUAAUAAUGGACUGCUGAACACAAUAGGUAGUGAAAUAAUAGCGGAAAUUGGAAUCUUGGAGUAACAAUUUGAUACUGGUUGUGAAGGGCGUAGGUCAUUUGUUUAUGAAUUGAAGGUUUGUAAUUGUAUUUAUAAGUUAAUUUAAAAUUGAUAAAUGUAUAUAUUAAAAUACUAUUUGUUUCUGUUCGUCAACUUUUCUCCUCCAUUUUUCCCUUUUAGAAGUUUAGAUUACAUAGCCUAUUGAAAGUUUCUAAUAUUCAUAUGUUGGCAGGUUUCAUGUGGGUGCGUCAAAGACAACCCUCCCCUAGAAAAGGUUAGAAUGCAUAGAUUAGUGAAGUUAUAUUCAUGUCAGGUUUUUUUUUUCGGUAAAAAUUUGGUAAACAAUAGUAUUAUGGGUCAAUUAACAUAAGAAAAAUAAAAUUGACUUAUAAGAAAGAUGCGCAUGACUCUCUGGAUUUAGAGAGAGUUAAAAUGUGGAGUGCAAAUGACUAUCACCUUUAAAGUGUUCGAUGAAAUGCUGCUAAGAUUUUCUUAUAAGACCAAGGACGAAAUAGUAAAGGAUAUAGUACGCCUUUAGCAUCCCCCACCUACUGCUCCAAGAGUAGAGACAUUGGAUAUAUAGUAGAGAAUAAGUGAAUAAGGUCAGGUAUAUAAAUAUAUGUAUAUCAAAAUACUGUAUGAGAAGUGUUCAACAAAUUGCUAUUGGGAAUUUCUAGCCCAGUAUGAAUACGUAAAGGUGUUCGAUGAAAUGCAAUUGACAUUUUUGGAACAAAUCUGACAACAAAACAAUGGCAGGUGAAAUACCACUUUGACAUAAAAUCAAACGUGAGAAGAACCUAAAAAAGAUGAAAUUAAAGAACUGAUAAUUCAGGUUUUGUGUUCUUAAGAACUACAAAUGGAGCUUAUCCAAGCUUUCUUUUAUUUUUGCUUUCAAUAUUAAUUUUCACUAAGGUACUGAAAUGUAAAUAUGUUUCUCCUUUUUUCUGAUGAACUCUGAAUUUCAGAGGGAUGAUUUCUGUGAGGUAUUUGAAAUGGAAAUGGUCAAUAUUUUUUGUCACUUGAAUGGUAGUUAUAUGAAUGAUAAGAGCUUGAUAUUGUUUGUUUCGUUAAGCUUCUGCAAAUACUCUACUUCAAGGUGUGUAUUAUUCCCUGAGUUAGGCAUCAUCAGAUUGGUUGUUCGAAUGGUAACUUUUUGUAUUUUUUGUAAUGUGUUUGCAACUUGAGGUAUUUUUUCUUGCAUCUAUUAAACGAUCAUCCAUUUUAAUUUUGUUAUGCUCUUAUUGGCUCUUAAGUAUGGAGAUGAUUCUCUAAUUUUAUGGCUGACAUUGAAAAUUCUCUACAAGCACGGGAAUUCUGUUUCUGUUUCAUUCAGGUGAGGAGAAUCUUAUAGUUUCAGUAUCUAUAUAUGUAUGUGCCUAUGUGGGUAUAGAUAUAAUUGAGCUUCUAAUGAAGCAGAGAUUGGAUUUCUUUUUGUUUGGUUGUAAUUGAUACCGUGUAGUGCAAUUUUCUUUUUGCCCUUAUUUAUUUUAUUUCUACUAGAAUUGUUGCUGAGUUGUUAGUUGGAAAUUCAUACUCUUGAUUCGUAACUUAAUGACAGUACUGUGAUACGAUCCAAAUAGAUAGGUUUGUCAUAGUCGAAGAUAAAUUGCAUUUGCCAAACACAUGAAUGCAUGAUAGGAGUUAACUUGGUAAGUGUUUAUGAGUUACAAAUUCUUAGUGAAAAUGAACCUUAGAUAUUAUGAAAGCUUGAAUCAAUGAAACUAUAUUCUGGAACCAUUUUCAUUUACAUCUAGCAUGCCCGAGAAAGAAUUAGGUGAGUUCCCAUCUUGGACAUUAUGAAAUUGACACCUUUAUAAUGAAUUCCCUAUGUGACAAUCUGAUUAUGAUGUGUUUGCUAUUGGCAGAUAUGCUAACAGUUUCACCUCAUCGGUUUUCACUUUUACGGUCUGGAUCUAGCUCUUGCAAGUAGGCCAACAACUACAAGAAUAAGUCAAUCAAGUACCCCAAAUUCAAAUAGACCAACGACACCAACCAACUCUCACUAAUGCAAGACGGCGGCAAUGGUCAGUGAAAUAUGACAUGUUAUACGCUUACUUGGAUGAACACUGGGAGAAUGGUUUGCGGAACCUGUUAAAUUGGAAAUAUGUCAGUGGUCAAAAGGAAAGAUACAUCAGGUUUGUUCUUUUCUUUUAUUUCUUUUCUAUGGGUGAUUUUCUUGCAUUAUAAGAUGAUCAUUUGAUUGGAAUAACAAUCAAUAAUAUUAAAUUUAAGAUAGAUUAUUGUUGUAGCAGAGGCGUAUAUCAACGAUUUAUCGUUGCUCGAUGGAACACCAGUUGUAUAAGUAAAUACUUAUUGGAUAUUGAAAAUUGGAAAUUGGAAAGUAGCAAUAUCGAUUUACACUUCAAAUUUACUCUAUGUGUUGCUAAUCUAUUGAUUACAUUUGGAGGUUUAUGCAUGUUUAGUUUGUACAAACAUGACCAGCGAUUAUUGGAUAUACUUCUUUUCACAUUGAUCUAUAUUCAGGUUUUGUUGUCAAAAAAAAAAAGCAAACCAUAUUGCAGGAGUUAAGGCUUGGGUCAACCUCGACGGUGGACAAGCAGAAGCUCAGUCAAGUAAGAUUGAGCUGCAAAGAAUCAUAAGAACUAAGGUUUGCAGAAAAACAAGAAGCAUAGCAGCGAACUCAUUGUGAUUGCCAAAUUAUAGCUACGAUGAAUUAAUGAUACCAGCCUUUUAUUUUUUUUCUUUUGUUUUUGUCUGUAAUCAUCUACAAAUUUGCCCUCUCCUCAUUCUGAUCAUCAUUCUGGUUUUUGUUUAUCUUCUUUGCUAAGAAUAUCGUUUGAUUGUGCCUCUAUAAUACAUGAAUAUCAUGAAGUUGAAUGCUUUGUCUCUAAAAGUUUCGGUUAUGAUCUAUCUUUUGAGACUAAAACCACAAUAAAACGAAUGGGGAGUAACAAAAACAAAGAUCACUAUAUUACUUACUAAUAGCUUGAAUCUUUUAAGUUGAAUACUGCAAUUUGUAGUUUGGUGUUAAGGAUCUAGGUAUUUGGAUUUUAAUUCUUUUUUUCCCUUAGUAAUCGUUUUUUAGUUUAAUUGAGAUGUCUAAUAACAAAAAGUCUUUGGCCUCAUAUAAUGGGUGGUGUUUUGAGGGGAGGAUGUGUCGUAGAAGAAGGCAAAAGAGCUAUUGCAAAUCGAUUUUUCAUUAACAUUUUCAUUAGCAUGGGUGCUGCUACUUUAAAAGAUUGAUGCAUCACAUCUAAAAGAUUGAUGUAGUUAUUGCUCCAUAAGACUUGAGACAUACAUUAUUCAAAUUUUUAUUUUCUCUUGAUGCUUCUUUCUUGGUUUUGAUCAAGG